rnacentral:sRNA from 1 species
CUAAUUUUAUAUAUGUAUAUUGUACAUGUGUGUGUUUGUGUGUGUGAAAUAAGACACCGCAAACAGCUGAGAAUAUAUUCUAUCUGUAUUCAUUUUCGAAAAUAUGACCCCUGCAGAUACUACUUUUUGGUCCUUAAAUUAUCUUACAGAUAAAUCCCGGCACCAAACUGUUGCCUUUGAAGGAGCUCUGCUUACAAGAACCAAGUGACCUACGGGCUGUACUCUUAAUCAACAGUAAAUCUUACGUUUCUCCACCUUCAUCUAUGGAAGAUAAAUCAGAUGUUGGUUAUGGACGAAGUAUUUCUUCUUCAUCUUCCUUAAGAAGAUCAAGUAAAGAAAAGAACAA